rnacentral:lncRNA from 1 species
AAUAACAUCAAGUUAGUCAAAAAACAAUGACCUCUAAUUGUCAAAGGGCAAUUUCUACAUACUUGAUCCACUAGUGCAUGUUUGCCUAAGGGAUUGGACACUUUUAUUACAAACUCAGUGGACUCUGCUAGCAUAUCCAUAUGAGGUAUCAAUUCCAUACAAAUAUAAGAGUGGGUAGAUCUGGGGUCAACUAAAGCAAUGACAGAUAUUUCAUGGAUAGAAAAGGUACCCGUGAUCACGUCAGGAGACUCUGCCUCUUCC